UACAGAGGGGGCAAGCGUUGUUCGGAAUUACUGGGCGUAAAGGGCGCGUAGGCGGCCUGUUAAGUCGCACGUGAAAUCCCCGGGCUCAACCCGGGAACUGCGUCCGAUACUGGCAGGCUUGAAUCCGGGAGAGGGAUGCGGAAUUCCAGGUGUAGCGGUGAAAUGCGUAGAUAUCUGGAGGAACACCGGUGGCGAAGGCGGCAUCCUGGACCACGACUGACGCUGAGUGAGCGAAAGCCAGGGGAGCAAACGGG
rnacentral:rRNA from 1 species